rnacentral:rRNA from 1 species
UCAAAGAUUAAGCCAUGCAUGUCUCAGUACAAACUUUCCUAAAGUGAAACCGCGAAUGGCUCAUUAUAUCAGCUAUGAUUUAAUGGAUCUAUACCCAGUUUUCCUUGGAUAACUGUGGUAAUUCUAGAGCUAAUACAUGCACAUAUAGUCCCUGACCUGACGGGAAGGGCGCUUUUAUUAGUAUCACAAAAAACCGGUGAAACAUGACUUUGGUCUGUAAAAAAAAUGAAUUGUGAUGACUCUGGAUAACUUUAAGCUGAGCGCACGGUCUUUGCACUAGCGCCGCUUCUUUCAAGUGUCUGCCUUAUCAGCUUUCGAUUGUAUGUUAUAUGCAUACAAUGGCGAUAACGGGUAACGGGGAAUCAGGGUUCGAUUCCGGAGAGGGAGCCUGAGAAACGGCUACCACAUCCAAGGAAGGCAGCAGGCACGCAAAUUACCCACUCCCAGCAUGGGGAGGUAGUGACGAAAAAUAACGAUGCAAGACUCAUCCGAGGCCUUGCAAUCGGAAUGAGUACACUUUAAAUCCUUUAACCAGGAUCCAUUGGAGGGCAAGUCUGGUGCCAGCAGCCGCGGUAAUUCCAGCUCCAAUAGCGUAUAUUAAAGUUGUUGCGGUUAAAAAGCUCGUAGUUGGAUUACAGUUGUGGACUGAUGGUUCACCAUAUGGUGUUUACUAUCACGCUCCAAAACCGCUCAUACAAUGUAAAAGUUGUUGGGCUCCACUAGCUCGCACUGGAUGCUCUUGACCGAGUGUCCAGAGUGGCUGGUAUGUUUACUUUGAAAAAAUUAGAGUGCUCAAAGCAGGCUAUUUAUGCCUGAAUGUCUAUGCAUGGAAUAAUGGAAUAGGACCUCGGUUCUAUUUUGUCGGUUUUCUACGGAAUCCGAGGUAAUGACUAAGAGGGACUGACGGGGGCAUUUGUACUGCGACGCUAGAGGUGAAAUUCUUGGACCGUCGCAAGACAAACAACUGCGAAAGCAUUUGCCAAGGAUGUUUUCAUUAAUCAAGAACGAAAGUUAGAGGUUCGAAGGCGAUCAGAUACCGCCCUAGUUCUAACCAUAAACGAUGCUAACCAGCAAUCCGUCGGUGUUAUUCCCAUGACCCGACGGGCAGCUUCCGGGAAACCAAAGUCUUUGAGUUCCGGGGGAAGUAUGGUUGCAAAGCUGAAACUUAAAGGAAUUGACGGAAGGGCACCACCAGGAGUGGAGCCUGCGGCUUAAUUUGACUCAACACGGGAAACCUCACCAGGCCCAGACACUGGAAGGAUUGACAGAUUGAGAGCUCUUUCUUGAUUCAGUGGGUGGUGGUGCAUGGCCGUUCUUAGUUGGU